rnacentral:rRNA from 1 species
AGUGGCGUGGCUAAGGGAUUCAACCCCGGAGCCGAAGCGAAAGCGAGUCCGAAUAGGGCGCCUAUGUCGCUGGGAUUAGACCCGAAACCGGGUGAGCUAUCCAUGAGCAGGGUGAAGGUCACCGAAAGGUGGCUGGAGGCCCGAACCAGUGGGUGUCACAAGACCUUUGGAUGACUUGUGGAUAGGAGUGAAAAGCUCAUCGAACCCGGAGAUAGCUGGUUCUCCUCGAAAUGCCUUUAGGGGCAGCCUCGUUCUGCACGACUGGGGGUAGAGCUACGGUUUGGAUGCGGGGGUCACCUCGACCUACCAAUUCCAGACAAACUCCGAAUACCAGUCUUUUGAGAACGGGAGUGAGACGGUGACAGCGAACUGCCAUCGUCACAAGGGAAAUAGCCCAGACCAUUCGCUAAGGUCCCCAAAUUGCCGUUCAGUGGUAAAGGAAGUGUCAGUGCUUCAACAACCAGGAAGUUGGCUUAGAAGCAGCCAUCUUUUAAAGAAAGCGUAACAGCUCACUGGUCGAUGCACCGAUGCGCCGAAAAUUGACGGGGCGAAACGGUAUACCGAAGCGGUGGAUGUGUACUCGUUCCGAGUACGCGUGGUAGAGGAGCGUUCCCUGCAGCUGCGAAGCCGAGCCGCGAGGCCAGGUGGAGCGCAGGGAAGUGAGAAUGUUGGCAUGAGUAACUACUAGGCAAGCGAAAAACUUGCCCGCCGAAUUCCCAAGGUUUCCCACGCAACGGUCAUCGGCGUGGGGUUAGUCGGUCCUAAGGCCAGGCUGAAAAGCGUAACCGAUGGACAUCAGGUUAAUAUUCCUGAACUUCAAAUGAAUCGCCCAAUGUCCGCAUUUGAUAGCCUAGACGGCCUCUACUCCCGCAAGGGAGCAUGUCUUUUGGGAAGGAUAGUACGGAUGUAGACGCGGCGUGACGGAGCGGGAAGAUCAGAGCGUCCGCAUUGACUGGACGUGGAAGGCGCAAGGCGUUGAUCCCGGGAGGCAAAUCCCUCGGGAGAGCUGAGCGUUUAUCCCAAUUACCCGUCGCAAGACGGCUGCGUCUGUCCCUUUCUGCUUCCAAGAAAACCGUCGCGAUCGAGAGUCAUUUGAAACCGUACCGCAAACCAACACCGGUGGGAUGGUCGAGUAGACCAAGGCGAACGGGUCACUUUGCGUUAAGGAACUCGGCAAUAAAGCGUCCGUAACUUCGGGAUAAGGACUGCCAGUCGCAAGACUGGCCGCAGCGAAAGAGCUCAGGCGACUGCUUACCAAAAGCACAGGUCCCUGCAAAGCCGCAAGGCAACGUAUAGGGGCUGAUGCCUGCCCAGUGUCAGAAGGUCACGGGAGGGGGUUUACGCCCUCAACCUAAGCCCUGAUGAACGGCGGCCGUAACUAUAACGGUCCUAAGGUAGCGAAAUUCCUUGUCGGGUGGUCGAUAAGACACUUGCCCGCAUGCACAGCGAUGUGCAGCACUGAGGAUUUCGUAUUAAUCAGUCCACUCGUGACAACGAGUGUUUCCCUUCAGUGGGAAGAGCAAAUUUCGUGAAGAUUGCUGUGUUCGAAAUCGGGUUUGGAACAACCCAACCAAAAAACGUUCUGCUCGUAGAUCGUUGCUUGUCACGGCGUAGCUCGUAAGAGCGAAGCCGGAUGAGCCAUUCACCCCGGCUACGUCUUCGGACUACGCCGAGGUAAACAGUGAGAAACGUCGCUAUUUGCUGGAACAUCCGAGUAUCCCCUAUGCCGAGAGGUACGGGGUGCGGACAAUCAGCAGGAAACCCGGCUUCGUUCGAAAGGACUACGCCGAGGGCUCCUCAGAGACUACACGCGACGCGGCGACGAGGAAUUAGGAAGAAGGAAUAAUGAAUUACGGAUUCGUCCCUAAUUCUUACUUCCAGAUUCAUAAUUCAAACGUCGUCGAUGAUAUAGUCCGAUCCCUGCGGCGACGCAGGGUGCGCGAAGCAGCGCAGAUAAAAAACACGCGGUGCAUGUAUGCACUCUUGGUUCCGUGCGCCCACGAUUUCGGUCUGGGUCUCGCCUUA